UACGUAGGGGGCUAGCGUUAUCCGGAAUUACUGGGCGUAAAGGGUGCGUAGGCGGCCCUUCAAGUCAGAGGUGAAAGGCUACGGCUCAACCGUAGUAAGCCUUUGAAACUGUAAGGCUUGAGUGCAGGAGAGGAGAGUAGAAUUCCUAGUGUAGCGGUGAAAUGCGUAGAUAUUAGGAGGAAUACCAGUUGCGAAGGCGGCUCUCUGGACUGUAACUGACGCUGAGGCACGAAAGCGUGGAGAGCGAACAGG
rnacentral:rRNA from 1 species